UACAGAGGAGCCAAGCGUUGUCCGGAUUGACUGGGCGUAAAGCGCACGCAGGCGGAUGCGCGCGUGGGGUGUGAAAUCCUGGAGCUCAACUCCAGAACUGCCUUUGAUACUGAGAGUCUUGAGUUCGGGAGAGGUGAGUGGAACUGCGAGUGUAGAGGUGAAAUUCGUAGAUAUUCGCAAGAACACCAGUGGCGAAGGCGGCUCACUGGCCCGAUACUGACGCUGAAGCACGAAAGCGUGGGGAGCAAACAGG
rnacentral:rRNA from 1 species